rnacentral:Y_RNA from 1 species
GGCUGGUCUGAGUACAGUGGUGUUUACAGUUAAUUAAUCCCAACCAGUUACAGAUUUCUUUGUUUCUUCUCUACUCCCACUGCUUCACUUGACUAGACUAAA